rnacentral:lncRNA from 1 species
GAACCCUACUUAUCUAUUAACCACAUUUGUCCCAGAAACGAACCAUGUAAUCCACCCUUUAAUCUAGAUUUUUAAGCACUACCAGCCAGAUAAAACAGUUCACAUGCUGGGGGUGGAACUGUAACCUACUGAACAGAUGGCUGUGCUGCCCACCUAGGCUGAGUGCUAAUACCCGAGCAGCAGGUAGCCUGCAAUGCCCCAGCUCGGGGCUGGCACGAUCCUCCUACAGUAGGGCAUUAUAGUCGGAACAGGCAGCCAUUUUAGCACCCAAUUAAGAUGCCACGACCUCAAGUGACAACGUGCAGGGACUACCUAGACACGUCGAGCUGGAUGUCUGGGCUCAGGCCUUUAUAAGUAGGCCAGGUCACCGACACACACCUAACCCCAAAGGUGGAGACAUCAGGAGGAGAUCAGCCACGGGCCCUGUGAGGCAUGGCGUGCAGGUAACUAGCACUGGGAUUUAAAUCACAAAACGAAAACACCAACACAAAGCAUGCAUACAGGCCUCAAGGCAGAGGAGUAUAAGGGCCCCAACAUGCAAUUUAUUGGUGGGAGGGUAUUAAGAGCUUCAGCUGGAUAUAGGCAAUAGUAUGAAGGACCCAGGGGGUAGUUUGUCAGCUGGGAAGGUCUCAGUAGAGCAGUUUAGAUGGAGGAUGGUAUGAAGGGCUCCAGCGUGGCAGGUUAUAGGAGAGCAUGCAGUAUGGUGGGCCCCAAUAUUAUAUGCAGGUUAUAGAGAAUGAUAGAGUGUAGGAUCCUAGCAGAGCAGCUUAUAAAAAGGGACAGUAUAAAGGACCCCAGUGGGGCAGUAUGUAAAAGGGAAGAUGGUAUGACCUGUAGUAAUUUAUGAAGGGGUAGUAUGAAGGCCACAGCGGGGCAAUUAGUAGAGGGAGGAUUAAUGGUAUGAGGGCCCCUGUGGGGCAGUUUGUGGGAGGGAAAAUAUGUGGGGCAGUUUCGAGGAGGAGUGAUGGUAUGAGGACCCCAGUGGGGCAGUUUGUAGAGGGAGGAUGGUAUGAGGGCCCCAGUGGGGCAGUUUGUAGAGGGAGGAUGGUAUGAGGACCCCAGUGGGGCAGUUUGUAGAGGGAGGAUGGAAUGAGGGCCCCAGUGGGGCAGUUUGUAGAGGGAGGAUGGAAUGAGGGCCCCAGUGGGGCAGUUUGUAGAGGGAGGAUGGUAUGAAGGCCCCAGUGGAGCAGUUUGUAGAGGAAGGAUGGUAUGAGGGCCCCAGUGGAGCAGUUUGUAGAGGAAGGAUGGUAUGAGGGCCCCAGUGGAGCAGUUUGUAGAGGAAGGAUGGUAUGAGGGCCCCAGUGGGGCAGUUUGUAGAGGGAGGAUGUAUGAGGGCCCCAGUGGGGCAGUUUGUAGGAGGAGGAUGGUAUGAGGGCCCCAGUGGGGCAGUUUGUAGGAGGAGGAUGGUAUGAGGGCCCCAGUGGGGCAGUUUGUAGAGGGAGGAUGGUAUGAGGGCCCCAGUGGGGCAGUUUGUAGAGGGAGGAUGGUAUGAGGGCCCCAGUGGGGCAGUUUGUAGAGGAGGAUGGUAUGAGGGCCCCAGUGGAGCAGUUUGUAGAGGAAGGAUGGUAUGAGGGCCCCAGUGGAGCAGUUUGUAGAGGAAGGAUGGUAUGAGGGCCCCAGUGGAGCAGUUUGUAGAGGAAGGAUGGUAUGAGGGCCCCAGUGGGGCAGUUUGUAGAGGGAGGAUGGUAUGAGGGCCCCAGUGGGGCAGUUUGUAGGAGGAGGAUGGUAUGAGGGCCCCAGUGGGGCAGUUUGUAGGAGGAGGAUGGUAUGAGGGCCCCAGUGGGGCAGUUUGUAGAGGGAGGAUGGUAUGAGGGCCCCAGUGGGGCAGUUUGUAGAGGGAGGAUGGUAUGAGGGCCCCAGUGGGGGCAGUUUGUAGAGGGAGGAUGGUAUGCGGGCCCCAGUGGGGGCAGUUUGUAGAGGGAGGAUGGUAUGAGGGCCCCAGUGGGGGCAGUUUGUAGAGGGAGGAUGGUAUGCGGGCCCAGUCACGGUAAGCCAGCUCCAGCCCAGCGUGCUCCCCACAUUGCACAGCCCGCUCUCCAUACGAACCUGUCGAGCAGCAGUCAGGGAAGGAAGGCAGUGUCCAGGCCCGAGCUCACAUCCGAUGUGCGGCAGCGCCGUGUCUGACCCCCAGCCGGUACAGGGGGCGGUGAGUAAUGGGAGUGGGAGGACCGACAGGUGCAGGUGGUCUCACCGGAGAGAGCAGGGGCUGCAGGCCCGGCCUAGGCUGCUCUGUGUGAGCCGGCAACUGGCGGAGUGUAGAGCGAGGAGCGGUGGGAGUCACGGCUGUGGGGGAGGCGGCGCUGGCAGAGCUAGGCCCCGGAGCUGCAUGCUCUCUGCCCGGUUACCGGGGUGGGGGAGGGGGGCACACACAGAGCCUCGCGCCAGUCAGCCACUGUAGCCUCGCGCCCCUCCACGCGAUGUCCGCGUUCACUGCGAGGGGAAGGCGCGCGAGGCUGCAGCUUCUCCUUCCUGUUUACACUCAGAGGACCCGGGAGCUGAGCCGGCACCUCACUUCAUUAAACCCCUGCCGGCUGCAGCCUUAUUCCCCGCCAAGCCCCCUGCUCAUGUCCCUCAGCUCGCUGUAUCCUCCCAGCUCGUCACCUCAAACAAAAAACCGAGCUUGGCGGCGUCUGGCCGAUACGCGCUCCGAUUGGUUCCUGCGCGUCUGACGUAAGCCGACGAAACCACGCCUCGCGCCGGCUCCGGUGGACUUUUUUUCACCUUCUGUUUGGCUGAUAGAUGUCGGCUCGGAGCAGCGUCACCAGCGCGUCCCGUCCAUCUCGCAGCCGAUUGGUCAGCACCAGUGUCAGUGAAAAGGAAGGGGCGUGUCUAGGGCGACUCGUGCACGCCGCGCUGACGUCAUUAACUGCCUUUUUUUAUUUACCUGGCUGAGAGAGCCAACCCCACAGAGCUGGCAGAGCUGGCCUGGGGCUGCAGCAUGGGGUUUGCUGUGUGUGUGUUAGGAUCACUUACACUGAUAACUGUUUGUGUGGUGCAGAAACUCAGAUAUUUAUAUAUUUAUUAAAUAUAUAUUUUAUUAAAGUGGCAGUGCAGUGAAAGAAUGAACAGGUAUUUCAUCACAUUUUACAUUUAGGAAUUUUUCAUCUCUUUAAUAAGAAUUAACUCACAGAGUUUAAAAUUUCAGACCAAAGUGGAAUUGGGCUAUUUUAAAGGGUUCAUUCUCAAAACUCCAUCUGAUAGCAAAUUAAAAUCUGCACGGCUAAAUUGAGGCUAAAAUGUGACAUUUUAACAGGGUAAUAUGGAACGCACAGUAAACAGUGUUAAGAGGACAUUUCAUUCAAGAGGGGUCUUAUCUGAAGAAAACUAGAUUAAAAACUUGAGGGAAAUGGAAAAAGAAUUAUACAAUUUAAAUCAGGUGAGCGAAUUUGUCCCAUCUCUCUCUCUAUUGGCCAUGAUAAAAGAUUAAACUAAAAUGAUGUGAUUCAAUUGGAACAAACUUCCUUCAAGUUAAUAUUCAAAAGGAAACAAGGUGGUCUCCCUGGUGGCAUCCAAACUAAAAAAAAACAUAACCAGUAAAAAUUAGUAAUGAAUUUGCAGAUUAAAUCCCCCUGAUUGAACAAGUGAAGAUUAUGUACCUUUAACCUCAACUGUCACUAUUAGGGUUUAUAAUGUUGCCCUCAAAUUAAAAUGGAUCAACACACUCCAGCCUAUUAUAGCUUAUACGAAUAACACCAAUGUCAUCGAGUUUAUAAAACACCACAAUUUACUUACAAAUAAUCUGGAUUGCGAAAACUGCCGUCAACCCUUGUGAUAACUCGUCGCCAAUGUUCUGAUGGAUAUUCUUGAAAAUGUAUUAACAAGAAUUGUGUCAUCAUGGUUAGCCAUCAGAAAGGGUUCUUUGAAAAAUCACACAACUCACUGAAAAAGUGGCUCCCAAUACCUCUGGUAUUUGGCAACCUCUGAAAAACAACGUACAUGACUGACUUGAACAUCCAAACGCACUGUAGUUGAUGUAUAUAACCUUUAUCAUCUAUUUUCAUACUAACCCAGUUUUGCUCGGUGGCCUCGGUCAUUAUGUUCAAGUUGAUGAGUCUUGUUUUAGUCAUAAAAUAAAGUACCAUCAUGGUCGUGCCUGAGAUCACAAAAUAUGGGUCUUUGGGAUUGUGGACACAGCAACAAUGCCAACUGUUGGAUAUAUGGAAGUUGUUCCUAACAAAAGUGCUGUAACUCUCCUUUCUAUUAUUCAACAUGUGGUACGCCUUGGUUCGACUGUGCACAAUGAUUCAAGACCAGUACUGAAUUUGAGUGAUGAACGGGGGACAUAAUUUUCUCUUGCUCCGAGUUUGCAUUGUAUAGUUGGUUUAGAUUGUAAAUUAUAUAACGGCCUACUUCAGAAACAAUUACAUCUUUUUUAGACAGUCAAUUUACCACAAGUUCCCACUUAGAAAUUUGAUAUUCUAGAUUCUGCCAUUUCCCCACAAGAAAUAUUGAACGUGACAAGCCAGACGCACAAUUGCUGGGCUCUUUAUCUUACCACUAUAUUCUGGCGCUCUUAACCCGUUUUAAAGCCCAACACUGGGGUCCUGGUGCUGCCAUAUACCAUGGGUCACAAGACCAGGAAACAGAAACCUGACAAUCUCAGAUCGGACAUGAAUAUGGCUGACGUGGCCUCACUUAGAGCUGACCUUACUGGCCUGGUGAGUCGAUUGGGGAUUCAGAAUCUUACCUCUUAUAAACGAAAUGCAGACUCUCUUUGAGCAAUGUUUUAAUGUGAUACCAGAAGCCGCAAUAACCUCAAGAUAAUAGGUAUUUCGGAAGAGAUCCCAACAGUAUAACUCCCUCACUUAAUAAGGAGACUGAUUGGGACCCUGCUGAUGGUUAAACAAACCAAGGACAUCACGUUUCAUGGAAUAUUCAGAGUCCAGAAGCCACAGAGAGCUCCAGAGUCAGAAUCCAGGGACCUGGUGGUGAGAUUUAACAAUAGCAGGGAUAAGGCAGCUAUAUUAUUAUUAUGAUAUUUAUAUAGCGCCAUAAAAUUCUGCAGCGCUCUACAAUGGGUGCACGAACAAACAUGUAGUUGUAACCAGACAAGUUGGACACACAGGAACAGAGGGGUUGAGGGCCCUGCUCAAUGCGCUUACAUGCUAGAGGGAGUGGGGUAAAAUGACACAAAAAGGUAAGGAUAGUAUUAGACUAGUGACAGUUGCAGAAGAGGAAUCAGUCAUGAGCUAUUAAAAGUUUAAUUGAUACGCUUUUAUGAAGAAGUGGGUUUUCAAAAUUUUUUGAAGGAGUGGAGACUGGGUGAGCAUCUAACGGAGGAGGGAAGCGAGUUCCACAGGAACGGUGCAGCCCUCGAGAAAUCUUGAAGGCGAGCAUCAGAGGUGGGAGUAUGGACAGAAGAUAGACGUAAGUCUUCAGCAGAUCGUAAGGGCCUAGACGGGACAUAGUUGUGUAUAAGGGAGGAUAUAUAGGUGGGAGCAGCAUUAUGUAGAGAUUUGAAAGCAAGAACCAGAAUUUUAAAUUGAGCUCUAUAUUUUAUAGGAAGCCAAUGUAGGGACUGACAGAAGGGUGAGGCAUGGGAGGUGCGGGCGGACAGGAAGAUGAGCCUCGCUGCCGCAUUCAUUAGGGUCUGUAACGGUGCAAGUUGGGAGCACGUAGGACCACUGAGAAGCGGAUUACAGUAGUCAAGGCGAGAAAGGACAGUGGAAUGGACCAACACCUUAGUCGCAUCUGGCGUUAAGUAGGGGCGGAUGCACGCAAUGUUUUUGAGAUGGAAAUGACAGGAUUUGGCGAUAAAUUGAACAUGAGGCUUGAAAGGGAGGUCGGAGUCAAAGAGAACACCUAGGCAGCGAGCCUGCGUGGUGGAGCUGAUGGUAGCACUGUUGACUUGGAGGGAGACAGACACAGGAGUAACAACACUUGAGGGAGGAAAGACCCGAAUUUCAUUUUUGAUCAAGUUUGGUUUAAGGAAGUGGGCAGCCCAUCCAGUUAGAAAUAGCAGAGAGGCAGUCAGAUACACUAGUCAAGAGGGACGGGGAGAGAUCAGGAGAGGACAGGUAGAUUCGCGUGUCAUCUGCAUAGAAAUGAUAUUGGAAGACAAAGGAGCUAAUGAGUUUACCAAGGGAGGCAGUAUAUCAGGGGUACGUCUCCAUAUUCUUUUAAAAAACAUGGCACUUACAUUCUACGGCGAUCUGGGGAUAUCCUGCAAUGGAGGAGAUCUCUGUAGCCCUUUACCACAUUGCUCCGAACCUACAGCAUCCAAUACCAGUGGCGAUCUCCGUGGCUACUUCAAAUCUUAAAGGGGGAUUCCACCCACUCUGCUCAGGAUCUGAAGAAAGCUGCUACCAUCUUGGAAACCCUGGGCCUCCCAUGAGAUUCGCUGUCCCAGCCUGGAACAAAGUGUGCCACCAAAGCAGCAUACGCCUGGGACCCCACAAGAGUAAUGUUGCUCGUACCUCGGCAGGUUUUCACUAGGCCUGUCUUACCCCUCCUCCCCCCCACCACCACUUCUCCAUUUGAGUAAAUGCACGGUUUAAGUUAACGAAGCUCAGAGGACACUUUUCCCUUCGGCCAUUCACCUUAGUCUCCCGCAUUCACAUUCGUCGCCAUACACUAAGUGAUAAUCAUUUGUCUGAGCUGCUGGCAUAAUAUGUACAUUUUUAGUGGCUUUGUAUUUUGUUCUUUCCUUCAUAUCGGCUUAUACGUGAUGGUGCAUAAAUACAGUAGUUUAUAUAAGAUGUAUUGGUCAGGAAUAAGCGUAGCAGAGUCCUAUUAGGCUAUUAUAUACAUUAAAAAAAAACUCAAAUCACUGCCUAACCCACUAUUGUACACAGACUGCUGCUGUUUGUGAUGUGUAUAUAUUGUUUUCACUCCGCAUACUUGUACUUUCUUUAUCUGUUCUUGCUCAUUUAUGCCAGUGGGAUGAGCAUCUAAUAAAGAAUAAAAAAAUUUUUUUACAAAAAAUGAAAAAUUGAAUGUUAUAAAUAAAAUACCAAAUGGUAGAGUACCAGGUCCUGGUGGUGUACACAUUAACUUAUUAUAAAACCUUUUCAAAUAUGCUCUAUUUGAAUAAAGUGUUUAUUUUGGACUGAGGGAAAGUUAUACUGCAUCUUUUAUUAAGGCAUUAUGUGCUUUAUAUCACAAUCCAACAGCUAAAGUAUUUGCUACUGGUUAUGCUUGCAAAAAAUUCUCAUUCACAACUGGAACCAGACAGGGAUACCCACUUUCACCACAUCUUUUUGCACUUGCAAUAGAACCUCUAGCUGAAUUAAUAAGGAUAACCCCAGACAUUAAAGGCAUAUCUGUAAGUGAAAGAGAACACACAAUUGGUCUACUUGCAAAUCCUAACAAAUCAAUUGACCCAUUAUACUCUAUUUUACAAGAAUUCGGUGAGGCCUCAUGUUGUAAGCUCAACCAAAAUAAAUCUUGGGCAUUACCAAUUUACCAUGGUACGAUCUGGAUACAAAAAUUUUGCUUUGACUGGACGAACUCAUUGAUUAUUUGGGUAUGCAAAGAAGAUAUCCAAAAUGUAUGCUUUUAAUCUAAAUAAAUCAUCAACUGACCUACAAAGGGAAUUAGAAAGGUGGAGUAGUUUAGAAAUAUCCUGGUUGGGCAUGUUAGUGUCACUAAAAAUAUUAUAUUAUUUACAAGCCAUCACCUUAACAAUUCCAUUAUAACUUUUUUGAAAGACUCAGGCAGAGUAAAUGAAAUUAUAUAGAAGAAUCAAAUGAGCAGAGUAACAUUGUAUAUAAAAAUUCUGAAGCGCAUAGUGUUGUGGGUAUUCCUGAUUUCUUAAAAUAGUUCCAUGCUACCUAUGCGGUUGCAGCUUUCAAGUUUGAUUCAAUGUCACAAUACCCUCUAGGUGAAGCAUGUCAAACUCAAAGUCUAACACGGGCCAGAUAAACAAGGUUUAAGUUUAUGUGGGCCGCAAAAAAAUAAAAUAAAAGUUCAACCUAGACCAACACAAACUAAAAUUACUUGAAUCAUUCUCAUGCAAACAAUAUGUAAUCCUGGGUACAUAUACAUAUAUAUAUAUAUAAAAUUUACUUACUAGCUUCAAUUCAAAUUACUUACUAUGCCCCACCAAUCUUAUACACAGCCUCCCACAACCCCUCCCACCCCCACUCUAAUGCACUGGCCCCCUUCCCUCCACUCUAAUUUAAUACACUGCCCCCCCCACCACUUUAAUAUACCGCCCCUCCCUCCCACCACUCUAAUACACUGUUCCCUCACCCCAUUUAAUACACUGCCAUUCCCACUCCAUUACCCCAGUUUAACACACUGCCUCCUCCCACUAAUUUAAUAUGCUGCUCCCUCCCCCCAUUUAAUACACUGCAUCCCACAGUUUAACACACUACCCCCUCCCUUCCCCCAGUUUAACACACUGCCCCCCUCACUCUAAUAUACUGCCCCACCUCCCCCCCAAUUAAUACACGGCCCACUCCUCCUACCUCUAGUACACCACUCUAAUACAUUGCAGCCCUUCCCUGCCCCAAAUCUAAUACACUACAGAACUACACUACAGAGCCUCUAAAGCGGUUUUACAGUCCAGCCCUACAUGAUCUAUUCUGCUCAAGCAGGCCACACACUCCUCUGGCACUGGGAGCAGCAGGGAAGAGGGAGUGGCUGGCCUGCUCUGCAUGCAGCCAGCCGCCGGAUGUGACUCCAUACGCUGUAUGCACAUAUCCGGCGUUGAACAUUGUUUUGUGCUUUUGUGGCCACCGGCUGCCCGCAGGGGCAUGCGAUUAGCCACGGUGGGAGGGAGGGCCACAGCACAAAGGGCCCCAAGGGCCCUAGGUGGACAGAAUUAGAGAGCAACAAAUUAAUUCCAAUGUCUAUCAAAUAUGUGGCUUCCAGUGUCUAGAUAUAAAAAAUUGCAGAAAAUGGCCUAAAAUAGCAGAAAUGUUCCCCACUAUCAAAAUUACCAUUACGGCUUGGGACAUGGUGUUUAAAACUGUUAGGUCUAAUUCUGGAUGGUCAAGAGCAAUGCCUUGUCCAUAUUGAAACAUGAUUUCCACAUUUAAAUUUAAAAAAAUUGGUAUUUAUAUUUCAUUCAAUUUUUUGACAAUUUUUUUUUUAGGCAAUUCUCCAAUAUCAUUUUUUAAAAAUGACAAGAAAAAUGUGGUUUACCUGACAGCAUUAAUAUUUAUUAUUCGAUUAUUCAUAAAUUAAAAGAUAUCUUAAAUUUAGAUCAAAAUGAUAGUGUAUUGGCGUUAAGUGAUCAAGUAAAAACAUAUCUGUAUGACUCAAAUAGGAUAUAUACGAUUUUCCAAUGUUCUUCUUAUUUAAUGCCUUAGUUUGAGUUAAAGUCAAAUUUUAUGCUGGCUUGGAAAAAGAAUUAGAGACUCAAUAUGGUUUAGAAGAAUGGCUUAAAUUUGUUCCUGCUUUAAAAGGGGUAACAGAAUGUUCCAAUCAUUGGGAAACACAUCUCAAAAUUAUAUAAAGAUGGUACUUCAUCCCUUGUAGAAUGCAUAAAAUCAAUCCACAUUUUACUGACAAAAUGUUGGACAAAAUUGAGGCCUGAUAGGGACCAUUUCCUAUACUUUUUGGUAUUGCCCAAAAUUAACCAAUUAUUGGAAUGAAAUUCAUAUCCUGCAGCUGUGCUAAAGUCAGAUGCCAUCCAGCCGGCAUUGAGGAAGAUUCAGAGCCCACCAGGGAAGAGCACAAGGGUACUCCUCACAUCAUUAGCACUACAACAUGUUAUAGUAGUAAUGAUGCUUGGAGUAACACUUAAAAGACAAGGGUGUUUCCCCAACAAUAGCACAUACAACAAUGAAGCUUUAACAGUCACCAAAUGCUCACAAGAGACUAGACUAAAAUUACAUAUUACAUGUCCUUAUAUUGGCUGAGUUUAAUGUACAUGAGAGCGGAGUCAAAUACAGGCAUAGAUCAGGGUAACAGAGAGACAGCAAAGAUGAGAACUAGCCCAUGUCAGGUAAACGGUAUACCAAUAGAACAUGUAAACUAUUCAGAAAAGGGUUGGAGUGAAACUCAGUGUCAGGAAUAAAGCCAAGGUCUAUACCAGAAAUAUCACAAUGUAACAAUGAAAGCACUAAAGGGUACUGAGAACAGAAACCACGAUAGAGCACAGUAAAUGGGGCCAGAAUGUUUUAAUUAUUAUGUGUGACUUGAUUGGUCAUAAUCAUGCUUGUGACCCAUGUUUUUGGGCCGGAAUCAUGGGAAGAGAGCUGGUCGGCCCCUUUAGGGUCCCCAAAGGUGUAAAGAUGACCUCUGCAAAGUAUGUGGAGUUUCUGACUGAUCACUUUCUUCCCUGGUACAGAAGGAAGAACUAUGCUUUCCGUAAUAAAAUCAUCUUCAUGCAUGGCAAUGCACCAACUCAUGCCGCAAAGAAUACCUCUGCAUCAAUGGCUGCUGUGGGGAUAAAAGGAGAGAAAGUCAUGGUGUGGCCUCCAUCCUCCUCUGACCUCAAUCCUAUUGAGAACCUCUGGAGCAUCCCCAAGCAAAAGAUCUAUGAUCGUGGGAGGCAGUUUACAUCCAAAUAGCAGCUCUGGGAGGCUCUUCUGACAUCUUGCAAACAAAUUCAAGCAGAAACUGUCCUAAUACUCACAAGUUCAAUGGAUGCAAGACUUGUGAAGCAGCUAUAAAAUAAGGGGUCCUAUGUUAAAAGGUAACAUGACCUGUUAAAAUGUUUAAAAAGUUAAAAUGUUGUUUUAAGUUUGAUUGAAAUAGCUUUUGAUUUCAGUAAAUAUGCUGCAAACACAACAAAUGACAAUUUUCAGUUCUUUACAACCUAUAAAGUGUUUUGAAACUUACUGUGCGUAAUAAUUUGGAACAGUGCACUGUAAGUUUUUUUAUGUUUAAAAAAAUACUGUUAUCAUUAGAUGGUCUGUUCAAUAAAAUUUGAAUUGCACUCUUAAUAGUUGAUAACAUGAGAAUUAUCCUGACUCUGUUUUACAUCAAUUAUUUAGGUAAAUGAAAAAAAUAUCAAUUGCAUAAUAAUUUGGAACACCUCCACACUCUUCCAUUUGUUAAGUGUUUUACUUGUAUACCUCAACAAGUUUAACACAUGAUGUUCUAUCAAUAUGGUUGGCUCAUUUGUAAUUUCAAUACCCAAGCACCCAAUACCACAUUUUUUGGAUAGUUUCUUUUU